CCUCGUUCAUUAUCUCUGACCAUGUCGUGUAUGUACAUCUGUCGCGAUCACAAUCCCUCUCCUUAAACAGUCCAUAAUCAUACGAGGUCCCAACUCCUGACGUUUUCAUCCACGAGACCGUAAAUAGUCCAAUAAUAAAGAGAACUAAAGAGCAACAUAAAGUAAUCAAGGACAGAAUUAAAAGUAUCAAUGAUUUUCCACAUCCGUCCAUGUUUCUUGUCAACGUGGAGACAUUUGCAGCAUUGGUGUAAAUAUAGAUUUCAAGAAGGAAUGUACUAUGCAUACGCCCUCGUAGAGGAGGAGAAAAAGGGAGUAUGUUUUUCUCCUGAGUUUUAAAAUGGAAUUCACGAUUUAAAUUUGGUCCUUUAAAAUUGAUAGAAAGAUUAUGCAGAUUGAAUUAGAAUCACUUUAAAAUAGGAGAAAGAAAAAGCA
rnacentral:lncRNA from 1 species